CCUACGGGAGGCAGCAGUAAGGAAUAUUGGUCAAUGGACGAAAGUCUGAACCAGCCAUGCCGCGUGAAGGAUGAAGGCCCUCUGGGUUGUAAACUUCUUUUACAGGGGACGAAAAAAAGGGGAAUUCUUUUCUCACUUGACGGUACCCUGGGAAUAAGCACCGGCUAACUCCGUGCCAGCAGCCGCGGUAAUACGGAGGGUGCAAGCGUUAUCCGGAUUCACUGGGUUUAAAGGGUGCGUAGGUGGGUCUGUAAGUCAGCGGUGAAAUCUCCGGGCUUAACCCGGGAAACUGCCCAUUGAUACUAUAGAUCUUGAAUUGUCUGGAGGUAAGCGGAAUAUGUCAUGUAGCGGUGAAAUGCUUAGAUAUGACAUAGAACACCAAUUGCGAAGGCAGCUUACUACGGAUUGAUUGACACUGAGGCACGAAAGCGUGGGGAUCAAACAGGAUUAGAUACCCUGGUAGUACCACGACCUAACGAUAGAUACUACGACAUUAGUGUAUAUACUAUAGUGUNUGAGAGAAGANAUAAGUAUCCACCGUGGAGACGACCGCGAGUAAGUAACGUACGAAGAAGUAGUUAGGCGUGNGAGNGCCGACGGACGACGACGAGGGAGGAGG
rnacentral:rRNA from 1 species